rnacentral:rRNA from 1 species
CAGAGGGUGCGAGCGUUAAUCGGAAUUACUGGGCGUAAGCGAGUGUAGGUGGCUCAUUAAGUCACAUGUGAAUCCCGGGCUUAACCUGGGACUGCAUGUGAUACUGGUGGUGCUAGAAUAUGUGAGAGGGAAGUAGAAUUCCAGGUGUAGCGGUGAAAUGCGUAGAGAUCUGGAGGAAUACCGAUGGCGAAGGCAGCUUCCUGGCAUAAUAUUGACACUGAGAUUCGAAAGACGUGGGUAGCAAACAGGAUU